UAAGAUGGUUUAGGGUAUGAGUGAAUAUCACUGUGAGAACAGGUCUAGCACAAUCCCAGUAAAGCAGGUAGAGUCACUGGAAGACCGGCUGGGCAAGGAGCCACAUUCCCUCUAAGAGGUGCAGGCUUGCAUUUCUCUCUGUCCCCCUAGAUGAGGGCAUUAUGGUCUUAGAGUUUUUCUGAGACCCAGGCCCUCACCCUCAGGCAGGAAACUAGCUGGGCUCAGUUUUCUCCUCUACAGGACUGGGUGGUGAUUCCCUUGCCUGGGGCUGGUUUCUGUCCUGUCUUUCCACAGUGGCAAGCUGUUGCUCUGUGCCAGGCCUUGGCCACACUGAGCCUCCUAUUCCCUUUCCCCAGGUGGAGUUGUGCUCAUAUCUGGAACAGGCUCCAACUGCAGGCUCAUCAACCCUGAUGGCUCCGAGAGUGGCUGCGGCGGCUGGGGCCAUAUGAUGGGUGAUGAGGGUUCAGCCUACUGGAUCGCACACCAAGCAGUGAAAAUAGUGUUUGACUCCAUUGACAACCUAGAGGCGGCUCCUCAUGAUAUCGGCUACGUCAAACAGGCCAUGUUCCACUAUUUCCAGGUGCCAGAUCGGCUAGGGAUACUCACUCACCUGUAUAGGGACUUUGAUAAAUGCAGGUUUGCUGGGUUUUGCCGGAAAAUUGCAGAAGGUACUGGAG
rnacentral:sRNA from 1 species